AUUGUUUAUCUGUACUUGUCCCCUUUGUGUGUUGCAGGACGUUAAAGUCUUUAGUGAAGAUGGAACAAGCAAGGUGGUGGAGAUUCUGACAGAUAUGACGGCCAGGGACCUGUGCCAGCUGCUGGUUUACAAAAGUCACUGCGUGGAUGACAACAGCCGGAUAAAAUGGCAGAUAAUUCUUCAUGUCUUAAAACAUCACUCAUAGUAUACUGUCGUUGGGUUUUGCUUUUUCAUCUUCAUUGCAGGACAAUUGCAAAAUGUUAGUACAAAGUGUACAAUGUGAUGAUCUGUUUUACAUGUACACUGUGAAAUAAUUAUUAAAAUCAAGCUAAUUAACAUACUCAUUACUGCCUAUACUGUGUAUGUAUGUGUGUGUGUGUAAUGAUAUCACUUAAACUCUACUUUCUAGCAACAUUUUUUUUAAAGAGAGAGAGAGAGAGAGAGAGAGAGAGAGAGAGAGAGAGAAUUUUUAAUAUUUAUUUUUUAGCUAAUUCGGCGGACACAACAUCUUUGUUUGUGGUGCUGAGUAUCUAACCUGGGCCGCACGCAUGCUAGGUGAGCGUGCUACAGCUUGAGCCACAUCCCCAGCCCUAGAAUUUCAAACUUACUGAAAAUAAGAUCAGUGAGCUGCAGAGAGAUGGUCUCUUGUCAGGACAAUUUUGAAGGAAAUCGGUGCUGCCUUCCCCACAAAGCUCCAUAAGCUGAGUUCCCUGACCCACAAAAAAUUCUUUAUCAUGCAGUACAUGAUUAUAUACCAAUUUAAAGAAGGUCAGUUUCACAAAAGUGAAACAGUGACGAUUUCUCUAAUCCCAUCAUCAUUACCUGGCAGUCUAGCACAAGACUGUCCAAAAGAGAAAUUCAUAAGCUGUCAUUGUAAAUCCUGCUUGAGAUGAUUGAAAUCACAAUACUAGAAUUAAAAAAAAUGUAGAUAAAUAUGCAUUAUGUUAUUAAUAUACUAGUUUAUUCCAUCUAAGCCCUGAGUUGCUUUAACAGGAAGACAUUAGCUGAUAGACUCUGUGUAUUUUAUGUGUUUUUAUCUUAAGUUUGUAUAAAGAAAAUACAAAUUUAUAUACCAUCACUUUAAUCAAAGAGUGUAUAAUGUAGCUGUGGAGAGGAAGUUAAAGAAAGAAUCCAAAAAAAAUUAAAAAAAAAUAAAUACAAAUAAAUAUCAGAAGAGGGACUCGAUCAGUGACUGCUGUAAUAUUCAAAAACUAUAGUCAUGAUGGAAGCAUAAGUUUAAAAGCAACUUCCAAUAUGAAUGGAGCAUAGAUGGGUAUCAGUGGAAGAAAAUAUUUGAGUUGGGUGAGAAGCAUGAAUAAACAGGGAAAUUUUUUAGUAUUUCAGUUAUAUUUAAGAACCAUUUCAACCCUAAUGACUGAGACAGAAAUUUGUGCUAUUUAUCCCUUAGAAACACCCAGGCCCAUGGAUUGAAUAAGGAUUGAAUAAGGGAAGAAAGUUUCAAAAUAUGGUUGCAGACUCAUUUCAAAAAUCUUAAAAUCAAAUCAAAUUUCAUAAAGAUGACCUAGUGAAGACAAUGACUUAUGUUUCAGGUGCAGAAGCACUAUUCAACAAAGAGAAUUAAAGGUAAUAAUCAGAAUGAAUUGUGCUGCUAUAGACAUUGAUGUGGCUGUGUCCCUGUAGUAUGCUCUUUUUAGGUCCUUUGGGUAUAGUCCGAGAAGGGGAAUAGCUGGGUCAAAUGGUGAUUCCAUUCCCAGCUUUCCAAGGAAUCUCCAUACUGCUUUCCAAAUUGGCUGCACCAAUUUGCAGUCCCACCAGCAAUGUAUGAGUGUACCUUUUUCCCUGCAUCCUCACCAGUGCUUGUUGUUUGACUUCAUAAUGGCUGUCAUUCUUACUGGAGUAAGAAUGGUAUCUUAGAGUAGUUUUAAUUUGCAUUUCUUUGAUUGCUAGAGAUGGUGAGCAUUUUUUCGUGUAUUUGUUGAUUGAUUGUAUAUCCUUUUCUGAGAAGUGUAAUAGAUGAAUGGAAUAAAAUAAUGUGGCAUUUAUACACAAUGGAAUAUUGCUCAGCACUAAAAAAAUAACAAGAUCAUGUCAUUUGCAGGGAAAUGGAUGGCAUUAGAGCAGAUUAUGCUAAGUGAAGUUAGCCAAUCCCUAAAAAACAAAUGCCAAAUGUCUUCUCUGAUAUAAGGGGGUGAUUCAAAAUGGUCUAGAGAGGAAGAGCAUGAGAAGAAGAUUACCACUAAAUAGGGAAGAGAGGUGGGAGGGAAAGGGAGGGAGAAGGGUAAUUGCACGGAAGAUGGAAAGAGAUCCUCAUCGUUAUACAGAAUACAUGUAUGAUGAUGUGAGGGGGAAAAAAAGAAGUGUGUCACAUUAGAUUGGGUAGAGAGAAGUGAUGGGGAGGGAGGGGAGGGAAAGGGGGGAUAGGAAGGGAGCAGAAUAAAAUAGACACUAGUAUUGCUGUAUGUAUAUAGGUGACUGUAUGACCAAUGUGAGUCUGCAACCUGUACACUCAGAAAAAUGAGAAAUUAUACCCUAUUUGAUUCAAAAGAAAAAAGAGAGAAAGAAUGAAGAGGAAACAUUUCUGAAAUUGAAGUAUACACACACAAAAAAAAUGGCUAGAAUUGCAUAUUCUUACCAAAAUGUCUCAUCUCACUGAAGGCUAAAACAUUAAUAAUUGCACAUUUUUAAACUCUUCAGUUGGAGAAGUUUGAACAAUCAUGUCACCACACGGAACCCCGACUUAAUACAGGAGAGAAUCUUGUCUGUAUUUCUUGAGUCAAUUCCUACUCUGCCCAUCUAUCCUUUCUCUGCUUUACAAAGGCAAGGACUUUUCUUUUUCAAAACAUACAAGUUAGUUUUCCAAUAUAGUAGAUUCAAAAUCCUUUAAAUUGCAGUCUGGCUUUUUCAUAUCUGACUUAUUUUGUUUACCAUACUAGAAUUGAAAUUAUCUAUUAUGUAUCUGUAAUUCAUAUCUUUUGAUAGGUGAAUAAUAUUCUACAUUAUGACAAAAAUGAAAUUUGUCUAUCACCAAUGAUGAAACUGUUUAAUAUUUAGUCAUAUUCUACAUUAUGACUAAAAUGAAAUUUGUCUAUCUCCAAUGAUUUCUGUUAAAUGCUAUUAUAAAUAAUAUUGUCAUAGUAAUUAUUUUUCAAGUUGUUUCAAAGACACAUUUUUCAUUCCAUUGUGUAAAUACAAGGAAUCAUUUCCUAUGAAUGUGUUUAUAUAAAACUGACACACAGAUACUUGAAACAGUUAUAGAAUGAAACAUACCUUCAGCAAUUUCUGAAUGUUCUGUAUUCUAGAAAAUAUUUCAUGUUGUCUGUAAUUUUUUUGUAAUUUCAGCAAUGCUAAUGAGAGACAAAACAGCAUCUCAUUGUGGUUUUGAUUUAUAUUUAUCAACACACAUUCUGGAGACAAACUAGAAAGAUUACCCAUUAAAUGAAUGUUUUUGUCUGGCAAAACUGUAGGGACCAACAGUAGGUUCGUGGUGGCCAGAGUGUAGGAGUAGUGACAAUGGUUAAUUAUAAAUAAGAUGCUGAGGGAGAAAUUUUAAUGUGAUGCAACUGUUUUAUAUCAUGCUUAUGGUAAUGGACAUAUAGCUCUGCUUCUAUCAAGCACAUAAAACCAUAUACCACAUAGAGUGAAUUUUGAUGCAUAUAAAUUAAGAACCAAUAAUGAAAUCAAUUUUAAAGGUAAAAAUAAGGCAAUAGGCUAGACUUUCCAUUAAGGCCAAGCCUCAGGCAGAUGAACAUCCCAGUACUAGCAGAUGCCUAAUUUACUGAACAAAGUCCUAAUUAGCCAGGAUAUUUUCUUAUCAAAUUUAGCAUGACAUGGUAAAAUUUAAAAUCUCAUUGUGUUUGUAAAAGAAAAAAAAAUCAAGAACCUUCCACAAAGAAAUCAAGUGGCUAGAGGAAGAGAGGACUGUGGCAUUUUGCAGUGACUGCUGUUGUUCUUAGCAAUUUGUAAUUCCCUAAUACCUUUUAUAGUCUCCUAUCAUGAUUCCGUGGAGUAGCAUGUAGAUUUAGUUAUUUUAAAUAAAGCUAUUAUAUAUUAAUUGAAGGACUACAUGUAAACUGUUCUUUAUUUUAAAGUUAAGCCAAUAUAAAAAACAAACCUUUCCUUUCUUUCCCAUUUCUCCACCACUUUGUGCUUAGUAAAUGGACUCUACAGUCUGACAUCCUACUUAUAUCAGGGAGGGAGAACAUUAGCUAAGUGCCUUCUUUUGUUCAAGACAGUGCUUUCAAAGAAGUAUUUUUCUAGUGUUUAUUUUGGCGAAAUUCAGUAAUUUCUGCAAACCAUUAGGUAGGAGCAAAUUGAGUGCGAGCACUUGCAACUGCUUUUGUGACAUGAAGUAGGUCACUUAAGCUAUUUGGCUCUUCCAAAUUAUGUAUAGAGAAAAAAUGAUGUAAAAAUUUAAAUAACUUUUUUUCCCAGUAGUAGCUGUAUCUAUGAAUAUUUCUCCUAUUUCCUUUCAAUUCCUUUAAAACACACCAUGUGAACUCUCACACAUAUACUAACAAUACUCAACACACUGUCAAUUUGAUCACAAUUAAUUAGAUUAUUUUAAAUAACUUUACUUAGAUAUUUUAUAAUACAUUUUGAUUUAUAUAAUUUUUUGAUAAAGAAACAUUAAAUGUUGCCAACACACUUUAGUUUAAAGAUAAUUAUCUAUAUUAUUUGUAACUAAGGUCUAUCAUUGCGAUAGCCUCAACAAUUUGAAAUAUUUACAUCAUUUAAUACAAUAAAUUUUUUGAGAAAAUCAUUACUGACAAAAUGCAAGAAUCUACCCAAACUUCCUGUUUUUGUUGUUGAAUUGCUGAAAUCAAUAAUCACAGUAAAGCAUAGAGGUAAAAGUAGAAGACCCCUUCAGAAAAAGGGGAAAAUGCUGAUAAUUAGUGUGGACUGACUUUGGGCUAAAGGAAUCCUAGACUUCUCCUGUCUGUGUUUUUUAAGCUACUAGCUAAAAGUUUCCUCCCAUUAGAAGAAGGAGUAAAACCAAGUUAAAAGAUACAUUUACAGAAAUAUUAUAUUAAUUGCUGGUCUUUUCCACCCUUAAAAAUUUGGUACAAAAAUUUAUUCCCUAUGCCACUUGUUCCAACUUUGUUUUCAGAUUAAGCAAAUUACAGAUUUUUUAAGGUAUCAUUAUAAUGAUCUUUUUUUAUUAGCUACACAUGACACUACAAUGAUCUUCACAAUUCAUACAUUUGAAUCAAAUGGGGUAUAAUUUCUCAUUUUUCUGAUUGUAUAGGUUGCAGAAUCACAUUGGUCAUACAGUCACCUAAAUACAUAAAAUUUAUAGAUUUAAUUUUAACAAGUUCCAGACUGCAGAACCUGUUAAUUAUAAUACCCUUUUACCCUCUUUCAGUCUUAUUUACUUUAGCAAUGAAUAUUUUUUUCAAUAAAUACAACAUGCUUUAAUUCAAUUUAUUUUGAAUCAUAAAUCUAAUAGUUUUUUUUUUAUGGUGAUAUUACCCAGUCAUUGUACUUUCACUGCAUCAGACAUGAUGCAUAAAAGGGAAAAGCUAUAGGACACAUGAUCACGACCCACAAUAGGAACCAUGUAAAACCAGCACAAAAGGAAUCACAUUUUCUUUUGCAUGAAAAGAAACCUAUUAAAUACAGUAGACAUACUACUAAUUUUUAAACAAUGUACAUAAUUUGUAUUUUUCCAGAUAGCAUAGUUCCAAGGAGUUGGUUCUCUAAACAGAAUGCAUAAUUUAUAGCAACUAUGUUUAUAUGCAUCACUUUACAAACUGGAGAUAGCUUAUUUCCUCUGUGAGGAAGAAUGUUGACUACAAGGUUGUGCAUAUAUUAGAUUCUUUCAAAUCCUGAACAAAAUAUCAGAAAUUGUUAUCUGGACAUAGUUUUUAGAGGGCCUAAUCUACUAUUUUGUGCUUUAUUGUCAGGUGUUUUUUACAGUUUCUAUGAUAGGCUUCUGUCUGUUUAUAUGCAAUAUAAUUUAUAGACCAUUAUUUAGAAUCUUUAGCCACAAUGACAACUUAGCCUUUGAAAACUAUUUUAUCAUAUUCAAACAAUCAUCCCUUACACUAAAAGGGGUUUCAAAAUUUAUGUACAUUUUAAUACAUUUUAACAAACAUUUGUUUCAGAGGUAAAGGUAAAUAUACAAUGUUAAGGUACUAAUGUUUAGGAAGUAAAUUAAAAUAAGAAAAUAUUUCAGUAACAAAAUCUAAAUUAUAAUAUGAAUUAUAACUUGAACAAAUGUAUUACUAUGUAAAACUAAAAAAAGUGAAAAUUUAAAUGUAUUGUGAUUCCAAUAAUUUCUAUAGAACAUUCAUGAACUAAUUCUCUGAGAAUAAACUAAUUUCAGUUUGUUGUUUAGUUUGUGAUUAAAAAUGCAGUUUUUUUCCUGCAUGAUUUUCUGCAUUUCUUUUCCUUCUAUAACAAGGAGUGUUUCUCUUAGUAUUUAGUUAGACAUGUCAACUCCUCAUUCCACCAAGUUGAGAAUUUUUUCUUUCAGUUUCUAGAGUAGUUGUACAUGUAAUUUUUUUCUCCAUUCCUACUUCUUUUAUUUUAUUGAUUCUUUGUAGCUAUAUAUGAUGGUAGAAUUCAUUUAGAUAUAAUUAUACAAACAUUCAAUAUAUCUUAUUCUCAUUAGUACCCAACUCUUAGAGAUGUACACUAUGGUGGGAUUCAUGAUGGUAUAUUUACAUAAGUACAUAGGAAGAUUAUUUCAGAUUCAUUUCACUGUCUUUCAUUGUCCUAUUUCCUCUUCCUUCCCUUCAUUUCCCUUUGUCUAAUCUGUUCUUUAUGUAAUUUAUUUAGUACAUUUGAAAUAAUGGCUCUACCAUACCACCUCAUAUUGUGAUACCUAAAUUAAUCUGCUCAGACUGCCAUCAAAAAUACUAUAUACAGGAGGUAUAUAAAAUAAAAUUUCUGAAGGCUGAAAUUCUCAGAAUUGGGGUAUCAACACAGCCAUGUUCUGGUGAGAACUCUCUUGCUGUCUUUCUCCAGGACAACUUUUUUUUUCAGUGACCUUACAUGACAGAGACAAGAGUAUGCAAAGUCUCUACUAUCAGUCUCUUAGAGUGAAUUGAACCCAUCGUCAAAGCCCUACUCUCAUGGCCACAUCCAAUCCUAAUCGUCCACUAAAAGUCCCUUCACUAAUCAAAUAUGAAUUUUGUAGGGUUCUUAGACUUCUGGCAAUGUUGCUCUUUUAAAUUACAUGAAAUUUUGCUUCAUUCUAAUCAAAUAAUUAGUGUUUGUUUUCAACACUCCUAUUUUGUUUUUAAUAUAUUUCGACUGGUGUUACAAGGAUCUACCUAAGUCUAUUUUUUUCUUUGUCUUACCAUACAUGAAGCUUUUGGCAAUGGCUUAGUAUCUAUGUUACCAUUUAUUAUUCAUUUACCAUCAUGUUGGCCUUACUUGUAGGUCCCAAUGAUUAUUAGUCAACACUAUCACUAACAUCUAUUCAAGACCUUCAGUAUCAUUUGCCUUAUCUCAGCUGGAAUUAAUGCAUUCAUAUUUUGACACCAUCUGCUGAUAGUGACAUUGGGUUAGUUUAAUUAACAUAUACAUAUAAUGUUAUGCCCACUUGUGUAUAAAAGUGUCAAAGCUGGAUAGGUCUAGUUUGUUUACAUUAAUUUGGUAACAAAGAUCAUAAAAAAAAGAUCAAGCCUGAGAUAGCCUUUAAAGUGUAGGUAUAAAUUUGAUAUGGGGAAUAAAAGAGUGUGUUCUGUGAUAGUUGAAUAAAGUUUCCCAGUACACAUUUAACCUUUAUAGUGAUUUGUAGAAACAUUUGCAAAAUAUAAACUUAUCAGUAAGUAGUACUUAAUUUAAAUAGAAGAGUAAAUAAAAUUAAUUUACUAGGCAUUUGUCUUUGAAAUGCCUUUUGUUAUUAUUUGAUUUAGUUUGAAUUUUAAUCAGUAUAAUGAUUAACACAUUCAUUAUAUAGAUUAAUGAAUUUCACUGUGGCAUUUUCAUAUAUGUAUAUAUUGCACAUUGAUCAUGUUCUCUCUCUUCUUCUCCUUUUUCUAACUUUUCUUCCCAUAACCUCCUCUACCCUGCCCUGACCCCAUUUCAAAACCCUUUCUUCUAAUUGUGUUUGAUUUUUUUAAUUUGCCACAUAUGAGAAAGAACAUGAAAUAUUUGUAUUUCUGUGUUUUCCUCUUUUUGCCGAAUAUAUUACAAUUCCACACUUUUCUUCAUGGCCACAUGAUUCAUAUAUAUAUGUAUCAUAUUAUCUUUAUGCAUUCAUCUGUGAUUAGACACCUAGCUGAACACAUAUCUUGGCUUUUGUGAAUAGUCUUUCAAUGCCUGGGUAUGCAGGUAUUUCAUUUCUAAACUUACUUUAUUUUCCUUUGGAUAUAUUCUGAAGAGAAGGAUAGGUGGGUCAUAUGGAAGUUUUAGCUUUAGUUUCUUGAGGAAGCUCCAUACUGAUUGCACUAAUUUACAUUUCUGGUAACAGUACAUAAGAAUAUAUUUUUCUCUACAACUUGACCAAUUUUUUCAUGUUUAAAAAUAAUAACCAUCAUAAUGGGGGUGAGAUGGAAUCUCACUUUAGUUUUGAUUUGCAUUUCCUUGAUAGCUAAAGAUACUGAGAAUUUCUUCCAUAUAUUUAUUGGCUACUUGUGCAUCUUCUUUUUUGAAGUGUGCAUUCAUAUCAUUUGCCCAUUUAUAGGUUGGAUUAUUAGGUUUUGUUGUUAAAGUGUAGAUAUGUAUGCUGAAUAUUAAUCCUCACACAUGAUGAACUUGUUAAAAAAUACACAUUUUCAUAAUAUUCUGAUUUGGUGUGCAAAAUAUUGAAAAAAGAAAAAAAGUUAUUUUAGUUUUUUUAGAGUAGGAGAAUGGUGUGGUUGCAGAAUAUAUAGUCCACAAAAGCCACAAUCCUGGGGCUGGAGCUGUGGCUCAGCACUCUCUUGGCACACAUGAAACACGGGGUUUGAUCUUCAGCACCACAUAAAGAUAAAAUACAGUUAUUGUGUCCACCUACAUCUGAGAUCUAUAUAUAUAUCUAUAUAUCUAUAUCUAUAUCUAUCUAUCUAUCUAUCUAUCUAUAUAUAUAUAGAUAGAUAUAGAUAUAGAUAUAGAUAUAGAUAUCUAUAUAUAUAUAUAACAUAUAUAUAGAUAUUAUAUAUAACAUAUAAUAUAUAUAGAUAGAUACAUAUAGAUAUAUAUAUAUCUAUAUAUGUAACAAUUCAUUAUAUAUAUAUAAUGAAUUUCAUAUAUAUUUAUCUCCACAGUCCUCCCAGUGCUUAGCAGAGAAGAUGCCACACAUAGGUAAGGAUAAAAAUUGGCUUUUUAAAUUAAGCCUGCAUAGAUUAUUUUUUAAAAAGUUUAAUAAGGAACUGGUGCAAAAUAUGAAUUAGAAUGAGGAAAUUCUGGGGUCACAGAGUAUGGCUAUGGUAAAUUAAAAUUGCAUAAGUAUAUUAUAGCUUAACUGUACAAUCCUAGCAUAAGCAGGUUUUCAUAGUGUGGAAAAAUACUUAAAGCACUAAAAACUUAAAGAACCAAUGUCACUUCAUUCUGAAUGAUUUCUGGCAAUCAUUCAGUUUUAUAAUGUGCAUUGUUGUGAAAUUUUCUUUUAAGAUAUCAACUGUAUAUGGAGAUUUCUUGGAAAGCUGGGAAUGGAGCCACCAUUUGACCCAGCUAUUCCCCUUCUCGGUCUAUUCCCUAAAGACCUAAAAAGAGCAUGCUACAGGGACACUGCUACAUCGAUGUUCAUAGCAGCACAAUUCACAAUAGCAAGACUGUGGAACCAACCUAGAUGCCCUUCAAUAGAUGAAUGGAUAAAAAAAAUGUGGCAUUUAUACACAAUGGAGUAUUACUCUGCAUUAAAAAAUGACAAAAUCAUAAAAUUUACAGGGAAAUGGAUGGCAUUAGAGCAGAUUAUGCUAAGUGAAGCUAGCCAAUCCCUAAAAAACAAAUGCCAAAUGUCU
rnacentral:lncRNA from 1 species